ACCUGCGGAGGGAUCAUUACCGAGAUUACACUCUCUAAACCCCUAAGAAUAUACUCUUCUAUGUUGCUUCGGCGGCAUGGGUCCCCCGUUGCGGGGGGUCCAGCAGCCCGCGAGGGCGCCGCCGGGGGGCACACAACCUCUAUUUUUAACGGUCUCUCUGAGUACUGUACUUAAUAAGUCAAAACUUUCAACAACGGAUCUCUUGGCUCUAGCAUCGAUGAAGAACGCAGCGAAAUGCGAUAAGUAAUGUGAAUUGCAGAAUUCAGUGAAUCAUCGAAUCUUUGAACGCACAUUGCGCCCGCCAGUAUUCUGGCGGGCAUGCCUGUUCGAGCGUCAUUUCAACCCUCAAGCCCGGCUUGGUGUUGGGGCCCUACGGCUGCCGUAGGCCCUGAAAGGCAUCGGCGGGCUCGCCGCGACUCCGAGCGUAGUAAUUCUUCGCCGCUUAGGACGUCGGGCGGGUUCCGGCCGCUAAACAACCCCUCUUUACAGAAGGUUGACCUCGAAUCAGGUAGGAAUACCCGCUGAACU
rnacentral:rRNA from 1 species